UGUAAGCUUCCCCUGCCUAGUGGCCAGCUCACAUCAGCAUACGACCCACAAACAUAACAAACUUAACACAUCAACAAUAACUGGACAGGUGUUCGGCACAACACUUAAAAGCCACCGCGGAGGCGAAGGACCAGGUGCAAAGUGGAUUCCUUCUGGAUGUUGUAAUCUGCAAGGGUCCUCCCAUCUUCAAGUUGCUUCCCAGCAAAAAUCAGCCUCUGCUGGUCUGGUGGGAUUCCUUCCUUAUCCUGGAUCUUGGCCUUAACAUUAUCAAUCGUGUCUGAGCUCUCAACUUCCAGGGUGAUGGUCUUUCCAGUCAGGGUCUUCACGAAAAUUUGCAUCCCACCACGGAGACGGAGAACCAAGUGGAGGGUGGACUCCUUCUGGAUGUUGUAAUCUGCAAGGGUCCUCCCAUCCUCUAGCUGCUUUCCAGCAAAUAUCAGCCUCUGCUGGUCUGGAGGGAUACCUUCCUUAUCUUGAAUUUUGGCCUUAACAUUAUCGAUUGUGUCAGAGCUCUCAACUUCCAGG
rnacentral:lncRNA from 1 species